rnacentral:rRNA from 1 species
CCGGACCUGACUGCUAUCGGAUUGGUACUAAGCCAUGCGAGUCGUUGUAGCAAUACAAGGCGGACGGCUCAGUAACACGUAGUCAACCUAACCUAUGGACGUGGAUAACCUCGGGAAACUGAGAAUAAACCGCGAUAGAUCAUAAUGCCUGGAAUGGCUUAUGGUUAAAAUAAUUUAUUGCCGUAGGAUGGGACUGCGGCCUAUCAGCUUGUUGGUGAGGUAACGGCCCACCAAGGCUAUAACAGGUACGGGCUCUGAGAGGAGAAGCUCGGAGAUGGGUACUGAGACACGGACCCAGGCCCUAUGGGGCGCAGCAGGCGAGAAACCUUAGCAAUGUGCGAAAGCACGACUAGGUUAAUCCGAGUGAUUUCUGUUGAAGAAAUCUUUUGUCAGUCGUAAAACCACAGACGAAUAAGGGGUGGGCAAGUCUGGUGUCAGCCGCCGCGGUAAUACCAGCACCUCGAGUGGUCAGGAGGUUUAUUGGGCCUAAAGCAUCCGUAGCCGGCUAUGCAAGUCUCCGGUUAAAUCCAACUGCUCAACAGAUGGGCUGCCGGAGAUACUACACAGCUAGGGAGCGGGAGAGGUAGACGGUAUUCUGUGGGUAGGGGUAAAAUCCACUGAUCCAUAGAGGACCACCAGUGGCGAAGGCGGUCUACCAGAACGCGUUCGACGGUGAGGGAUGAAAGCUGGGGGAGCAAACCGGAUUAGAUACCCGGGUAGUCCCAGCUGUAAACGAUGCAAACUCGGUGAUGCAUUGACUUAUGGUCAAUGCAGUGCCGCAGGAAAGCCGUUAAGUUUGCCGCCUGGGAAGUACGGACGCAAGUCUGAAACUUAAAGGAAUUGGCGGGGGAGCACCACAAGGGGUGAAGCCUGCGGUUCAAUUGGAUUCAACGC